rnacentral:rRNA from 1 species
GAUGAACGCUGGCGGCGUGCCUAAUACAUGCAAGUCGAGCGAAUGGAUUAAGAGCUUGCUCUUAUGAAGUUAGCGGCGGACGGGUGAGUAACACGUGGGUAACCUGCCCAUAAGACUGGGAUAACUCCGGGAAACCGGGGCUAAUACCGGAUAACAUUUUGAACCGCAUGGUUCGAAAUUGAAAGGCGGCUUCGGCUGUCACUUAUGGAUGGACCCGCGUCGCAUUAGCUAGUUGGUGAGGUAACGGCUCACCAAGGCAACGAUGCGUAGCCGACCUGAGAGGGUGACCGGCCACACUGGGACUGAGACACGGCACAGACUCCUACGGGAGGCAGCAGUAGGGAAUCGUCCGCAAUGGACGAAAGUCUGACGGAGCAACGCCGCGUGAGUGAUGAAGGCUUUCGGGUCGUAAAACUCUGUUGUUAGGGAAGAACAAGUGCUAGUUGAAUAAGCUGGCACCUUGACGGUACCUAACCAGAAAGCCACGGCUAACUACGUGCCAGCCGCCGCCGUAA